rnacentral:rRNA from 1 species
CAGUUCGGAUUGUAGUCUGCAACUCGACUACAUGAAGCUGGAAUCGCUAGUAAUCGCGAAUCAGCAUGUCGCGGUGAAUACGUUCCCGGGUCUUGUACACACCGCCCGUCACACCAUGGGAGUUGGUAACGCCCGAAGCCAGUGACCCAACCGGAAACGGAGGGAGCUGUCGAAGGUGGGACCGAUAACUGGGGUGAAGUCGUAACAAGGUAUC